CUGGAGUUCCCCUGAAUGCUUCAGUAUUGGGUUUAUUCUUUCUAGCCAUAUUACUGAAGUGUUUGGGGGAACUCCCGGUGCCAAUUGACUGAGAUCAUUGCCGGAAAACGUUGUCAUUGUGGUCCCCUAUCUCUUUCUUUAUUGUUCGUCAUGUUAUCCUCAUAAACAAUGAUUUCCUUCAAUAUUCGUUGAUAAUUUUAAUUGCGGCCUUUUUUUUUUUUUUUUUUGGGCUACGAAUUCUAAAAUUACUUACAUUUUUCUACCUCCGCGAAGUUGGGGACAUCUAAUUUUAGAUUGUCCACAAUAUAUAUAUAUUGUGAAUAAUUUUUCCGCAAUGUGCUAAGCAGCAUUAAUGGUUUUUUUUUUUUUUUUUCAAUUAGCAAUACAUAUUUUUUCUUUUUCAUUUUCGUUUCCAUAGUCAUAAAUACCCUUCAUAUAUAAUUUUAUUUCUAUGUAUUUAGAUAUUAUUUCUUUUGUAAUUUGGAAAAACAUAAGGGCUAAUAACGUCUUUUUGGCCAUGCCCUUUAUUUCCCAAAGGCAGCAUACAAUGCGAUUUGGAGGAUGAUAUUUCCUCCAUUGUCGAUCUUCUUCUUCAGUAGGAUACAGCUUUUCUUCAGCAAUAUCCUGCUCCAACUCUGCAGUCCUGCCACUUCAACUCCGUAUAAGGUCGCCAGAGUGAGUCAAAAUAGAGAAAAGUAUUACCUCUAUCUUGAUCCUCUCUGUGUGUGGUUUUAGGUAGCAUUGACAUGCUCAUUCCGUACCCCCAUCAACAUAACAGACAUUCUUGUGCGCAAUAUACACGAAGCCAUAUGCCUUUAACUUACCUUUUCUACAAUUUGUGUAUUUAUUGUGCAUAUAUAUAUAUAUAUAUAUAUAUAUAAGUAUGUGUGUGUAAAAGAAUAGGAAGUUGGAAAUUCCAUUAGACACAACUUGCGUUGAAUUAGCAUCCGCUUUUUGAGAAUAUCAGGAGCAUCACCCACUUCUUGUACAGUCUGUAAAUAUACAAUCUGAAUGUUACUUAAACAACCAUGCCGACCUAUUAUCUUUGUGGAUUAAUCUAUAUUUAAAGGUUUGCUUCUCU